GGAAGGUGGAGCAGGUCCUUUCCUGUGGUAGGUCUGACUGUUGGCCCCAGUCAAGGAGGUGCAAAGGAACCAAAGAUGAAUUCACAGUAGCUUCCCACCCAAGUGGCCACGGCUUUGCGCUGAGUGUAUUUGACAAGCUGAAUUCAGACACUCAAUUCUAAACAGUGUCAGUUUGUCAAAUACCCCAAGUGCGGAGCUGAAAAGCAACUGAACAUUCCCCAGGGCUGAACGAGGCUUGGAGAUAUAAGCACACUACUGACAAGGCUCCAUUAUCUGCAUGUAUAUAUAUAAAAUUAAACACACAUGCAUGGCUCAAGAGUGAAAUAAACAUUAAGUGUAAACUAGAUGAUAAGUGUUAACCAGAUGAUAGAGUUGGUAUAUUUAAGAUUGGAAGUGUACUUACAUUGGAUUUAGCAAAAGAUUGUUAAGAUUAAACCAAAUGCUAUUAUGUAUGAUAUAAAGAAAUAAGGUUGAUGACGUAUUAAUGUGCUAAAGUAGAGAGUCAAUUAAAGUUUGAGUCAUUCAUCCAGCACUUACCGAUCUGUAUAAUUAACACAAGUGUACAGAACCUCAGGUAUAUUUGCUGAUGACUACAUUGGAUCUGUGCCUUUGCAUGACUGAAACAAAUAGGUUAGGUAUAUUUUGCUCUUCCUGUUUGGAGAAAGUGCUCCAUAGUUUUCACCAAAUAUUCAUGAAAUAUCUAUCGAGAAAGCGCUGGGAAACGAAGAAAGGUAAAAAAAAAGGCAUUUAUCCGAGUUUAAAAGGGCUAUAUUUUUCCAUUGCAGAAUUAAAAGUAUGGAUUAAUUAAAACGUUAAAUAUCUUCAAUGUUUGGCCUCCACAUUACGUUCUGAAUUGUAUUUGCAUGAACCACUCUUUGCAUGAUGUUAAUAAAGCUGCUUUGAAUACCCCU